GUUGAGGUGGCUGAAUUUAGGCGUUAAACUGUAAAUUUAUUUAUGAGAAAUUUUUCUCUCUUAACA